UGCAGUCGAACGCGAAAGCGGGGCAACCCGCAAGUAGAGUGGCGAACGGGUGAGUAAUACAUCGGAACGUAUCCAGUAGCGGGGGAUAACCUGUCGAAAGAUAGGCUAAUACCGCAUACGAUCUACGGAUGAAAGCGGGGGACCGCAAGGCCUCGCACUAUUGGAACGGCCGAUGUCGGAUUAGCUAGUUGGUGAGGUAAAGGCUUACCAAGGCGACGAUCCGUAGCUGGUCUGAGAGGACGAUCAGCCACACUGGAACUGAGACACGGUCCAGACUCCUACGGGAGGCAGCAGUGGGGAAUUUUGGACAAUGGGCGCAAGCCUGAUCCAGCCAUGCCGCGUGAGUGAAGAAGGCCUUCGGGUUGUAAAGCUCUUUCGGCGGGGACGAAACGGUUCGUGUGAACAUCACGGACUAAUGACGGUACCCGCAUAAGAAGCACCGGCUAACUACGUGCCAGCAGCCGCGGUAAUACGUAGGGUGCAGGCGUUAAUCGGAAUUACUGGGCGUAAAGCGUGCGCAGGCGGUUUGUUAAGACAGGUGUGAAAUCCCCGGGCUUAACCUGGGAAUUGCGCUUGUAACUGGCAGGCUAGAGUGUGGCAGAGGGGGGUGGAAUUCCACGUGUAGCAGUGAAAUGCGUAGAUAUGUGGAGGAACACCGAUGGCGAAGGCAGCCCCCUGGGUUAACACUGACGCUCAUGCACGAAAGCGUGGGGAGCAAACAGGAUUAGAUACCCUGGUAGUCCACGCCCUAAACUAUGUCAACUGGUUGUCGGGGAAGAAAUUCCUUGGUAACGAAGCUAACGCGUGAAGUUGACCGCCUGGGGAGUACGGCCGCAAGGUUAAAACUCAAAGGAAUUGACGGGGACCCGCACAAGCGGUGGAUUAUGUGGAUUAAUUCGAUGCAACGCGAAAAACCUUACCUACCCUUGACAUGUACGGAAUUCCGCAGAGAUGUGGAAGUGCCCGAAAGGGAACCGUAACACAGGUGCUGCAUGGCUGUCGUCAGCU
rnacentral:rRNA from 1 species